rnacentral:rRNA from 1 species
GACGAACGCUGGCGGCGUGCUUAACACAUGCAAGUCGAACGGUAAGGCCCUUCGGGUACACGAGUGGCGAACGGGUGAGUAACACGUGGGUGAUCUGCCCUGCACUUUGGGAUAAGCCUGGGAAACUGGGUCUAAUACCGAAUAGGACUCCGGACUGCAUGGUCUGGGGUGGAAAGCUUUUGCGGUGUGGGAUGGGCCCGCGGCCUAUCAGCUUGUUGGUGGGGUGAUGGCCUACCAAGGCGACGACGGGUAGCCGGCCUGAGAGGGUGACCGGCCACACUGGGACUGAGACACGGUCCAGACUCCUACGGGAGGCAGCAGUGGGGAAUAUUGCGCAAUGGGCGAAAGCCUGACGCAGCCACGCCGCGUGAGCGAUGAAGGUCUUCGGAUCGUAAAGCUCUGUGGGGGGGAGAAGAAGAAAGCCGGUGAAGAGCCGGCCCUGACGGUAUCCCCUUAGCAAGCACCGGCUAACUCCGUGCCAGCAGCCGCGGUAAAGUACAGUGU